AGGCCAGACUCCUACGGGAGGCAGCAGUGGGGAAUAUUGGGCAAUGGAGGCAACUCUGACCCAGCAACGCCGCGUGAGUGAUGAAGGUCUUCGGAUUGUAAAACUCUUUAAGUGGGGACGAAGAAAGUGACUGUACCCACAGAAUAAGCCUCGGCUAACUACGUGCCAGCAGCCGCGGUAAUACGUAGGAGGCAAGCGUUAUCCGGAAUGACUGGGCGUAAAGGGUGCGUAGGUGGUUUGACAAGUUAGUAGCGUAAUUCCGGGGCUCAACUUCGGAACUACUACUAAAACUGUUGGGCUUGAGUGCAGGAGAGGUGAAUGGAAUUCCUAGUGUAGCGGUGGAAUGCGUAGAUAUAUGGAAGAACACCAGUGGCGAAAGCGGCUCUCUGGUCUGUAACUGACGCUGAGGUUCGAAAGCGUGGGUAGCAAACAGGAUUAGAUACCCGAGUA
rnacentral:rRNA from 1 species